rnacentral:lncRNA from 10 species
GGACUCGGGUCACUGGAUGCAGAUUUGAUGAGAAGUAAAAAUGCAGCAGCGGGAGAGUCUGAGGCAAGGUGCCUGGCGGAGAGCUAGAUAAACAGAUAGUGCUGUGCCCGGUGGCUCCAGGGGCAGAUCAAAGCCGGAUUUCCCAGCACAGGUGGCCUGAGAGAAUGAAGCCGAUUUGCAGAGAACCUGGAACAGAAUUCUGGCUUGAGCAGAACUGGAGUUUCUGAAUCCAGUUGACCGUGGAUCCAGAUACCC